AGCGAGGUGAAGGCGGAGGAGCCAGAGCCGAAGCGAAAGCGAGUCUGAAGAGGGCGCGAGUUCGUCCGCAUCGACCCGAAACCGGGUGAUCUACCCCUGGUCAGGGUGAAGUGCGGGUAACACCGCAUGGAGGCCCGAACCCACUGGCGUUGAAAAGCCAGGGGAUGAACUGGGGGUAGGGGUGAAAUGCCAAUCGAACCCGGUGAUAGCUGGUUCUCCCCGAAAUGCAUUUAGG
rnacentral:rRNA from 1 species